rnacentral:rRNA from 1 species
GUCGAACGGCAGCACAGUAAGAGCUUGCUCUUAUGGGUGGCGAGUGGCGGACGGGUGAGGAAUACAUCGGAAUCUACUCUUUCGUGGGGGAUAACGUAGGGAAACUUACGCUAAUACCGCAUACGACCUACGGGUGAAAGCGGAGGACCUUCGGGCUUCGCGCGAUUGAAUGAGCCGAUGUCGGAUUAGCUAGUUGGCGGGGUAAAGGCCCACCAAGGCGACGAUCCGUAGCUGGUCUGAGAGGAUGAUCAGCCACACUGGAACUGAGACACGGUCCAGACUCCUACGGGAGGCAGCAGUGGGGAAUAUUGGACAAUGGGCGCAAGCCUGAUCCAGCCAUGCCGCGUGGGUGAAGAAGGCCUUCGGGUUGUAAAGCCCUUUUGUUGGGAAAGAAAAGCAAUUGGUUAAUACCCGAUUGUUCUGACGGUACCCAAAGAAUAAGCACCGGCUAACUUCGUGCCAGCAGCCGCGGUAAUACGAAGGGUGCAAGCGUUACUCGGAAUUACUGGGCGUAAAGCGUGCGUAGGUGGUGGUUUAAGUCUGUUGUGAAAGCCCUGGGCUCAACCUGGGAAUUGCAGUGGAUACUGGGUCACUAGAGUGUGGUAGAGGGUAGCGGAAUUCCCGGUGUAGCAGUGAAAUGCGUAGAGAUCGGGAGGAACAUCCGUGGCGAAGGCGGCUACCUGGACCAACACUGACACUGAGGCACGAAAGCGUGGGGAGCAAACAGGAUUAGAUACCCUGGUAGUCCACGCCCUAAACGAUGCGAACUGGAUGUUGGGUGCAAUUUGGCACGCAGUAUCGAAGCUAACGCGUUAAGUUCGCCGCCUGGGGAGUACGGUCGCAAGACUGAAACUCAAAGGAAUUGACGGGGGCCCGCACAAGCGGUGGAGUAUGUGGUUUAAUUCGAUGCAACGCGAAGAACCUUACCUGGUCUUGACAUCCACGGAACUUUCCAGAGAUGGAUUGGUGCCUUCGGGAACCGUGAGACAGGUGCUGCAUGGCUGUCGUCAGCUCGUGUC